rnacentral:lncRNA from 1 species
AAUCUAUCAAACUCUGAAAUGGGGACACCCCCGUAAGUCUAACUUUUUAAUAGGAAUAUGAAAAUACAUUAAAUUUCCAUAUCAGGUCCUUGUUUGAUUUUUUGAAAAUUACUUCUUUUCAAAUUUAUUUUUCAAUCGAACAUCUUUCGGUCCAUAACUUUUUCUUACUUUUAACUAUACAUUCUUCAGAAAAAUCACUUCUAAAAAUUCUAAAUCAAACAAGGACUAAUUUGACAAAUUUCAACACAAGUCUCAAAUUGCAGUCAUUAUUAGAUAUUAGAUUGUGGAAAUUACUCGUAGUCCUAGUUUUGUUUUAGAGGAAAUUAUGCCACACCCCUAUUUUUUAAUAAAUAUUUAGAAUAUACUUUUUUAACUUUUGUUUAACCAUAAAUGCUGUUUUUUACAAGGAUUAAUCUAUUUGUACCAAAUAGUUUACCUAAUGGUUUCCUGAAUUAACAAGUGGCGGCUCCCAAUAAACAGUCGCCAUUCAAUAAGUGGCCGUCACUUGUCAAUUCGGUAAAUCAUUUGGUACUUGUAGCAUCUUCCUUUUUAUAAUAGUAAAAUAGAAAUGUGAAAACUUAAUCAAAUCAUAGGGGCUAUUCAUUUAGUAGCUAAAUUUACUCCAACAAAUGCGCCCUUGACUUACGCUCCAAAAAAUACUCCCUUAACAUGAUAAAUUAAUAACAAAAUCCCUAAAAUGGAGUCCUUUGAUUUUCCAACCCAAAUAUCCACCUAGAUCGUCUCUCUUUUCUCUAGAAUCAAG